rnacentral:rRNA from 1 species
CUAAUACCGUAUAACAACAAAAUCCGCAUGGAUUUUGUUUGAAAGGUGGCUUCGGCUAUCACUUCUGGAUGAUCCCGCGGCGUAUUAGUUAGUUGGUGAGGUAAAGGCCCACCAAGACGAUGAUACGUAGCCGACCUGAGAGGGUAAUCGGCCACAUUGGGACUGAGACACGGCCCAAACUCCUACGGGAGGCAGCAGUAGGGAAUCUUCCACAAUGGACGAAAGUCUGAUGGAGCAAUGCCGCGUGAGUGAAGAAGGGUUUCGGCUCGUAAAACUCUGUUGUUAAAGAAGAACACCUUUGAGAGUAACUGUUCAAGGGUUGACGGUAUUUAACCAGAAAGCCACGGCUAACUACGUGCCAGCAGCCGCGGUAAUACGUAGGUGGCAAGCGUUGUCCGGAUUUAUUGGGCGUAAAGCGAGCGCAGGCGGUUUUUUAAGUCUGAUGUGAAAGCCUUCGGCUUAACCGGAGAAGUGCAUCGGAAACUGGGAGACUUGAGUGCAGAAGAGGACAGUGGAACUCCAUGUGUAGCGGUGGAAUGCGUAGAUAUAUGGAAGAACACCAGUGGCGAAGGCGGCUGUCUAGUCUGUAACUGACGCUGAGGCUCGAAAGCAUGGGUAGCGAACAGGAUUAGAUACCCUGGUAGUCCAUGCCGUAAACGAUGAGUGCUAAGUGUUGGAGGGUUUCCGCCCUUCAGUGCUGCAGCUAACGCAUUAAGCACUCCGCCUGGGGAGUACGACCGCAAGGUUGAAACUCAAAGGAAUUGACGGGGGCCCGCACAAGCGGUGGAGCAUGUGGUUUAAUUCGAAGCUACGCGAAGAACCUUACCAGGUCUUGACAUCUUCUGCCAAUCUUAGAGAUAAGACGUUCCCUUCGGGGACAGAAUGACAGGUGGUGCAUGGUUGUCGUCAGCUCGUGUCGUGAGAUGUUGGGUUAAGUCCCGCAACGAGCGCAACCCUUAUUAUCAGUUGCCAGCAUUCAGUUGGGCACUCUGGUGAGACUGCCGGUGACAAACCGGAGGAAGGUGGGGAUGACGUCAAAUCAUCAUGCCCCUUAUGACCUGGGCUACACACGUGCUACAAUGGACGGUACAACGAGUUGCGAAGUCGUGAGGCUAAG